AGGUGGAGUUAUGACGUCCUCUUGUGUUCUGAGCUUCACAGUAAUAUCUCCCACUGUGAUCAGCACUGAAGUUAGAGAUGGUGAAGAUCUGUCCUGAAGCUGUCGCAGGACUCACAGACGCUGAACAAACUGAUGGAGCAUCUUGAGGAGAGAAGAAGAAAAAUAUAACUUAAGUGACCAAUGUGGAGAAUUAAGUGGAAUAAAGUGCUGAUGGUGCAGAUUGAAACCAGCUGACAACCCCUCCCUCGAUGCUCCCCUCUUCACCUGCAGAGUUUACAACAAUCAUUAAAGCUCAGCGUACUCUGUA